AGAGUUUGAUCCUGGCUCAGGAUGAACGCUAGCGGCAGGCUUAACACAUGCAAGUCGAGGGGCAGCGGGGAGGAAGCUUGCUUUCUCCGCCGGCGACCGGCGCACGGGUGAGUAACACGUAUGGAACCUGCCCGCAGCAGGGGGAUAAGCGGAAGAAAUUCCGUCUAAUACCGCGUAACAACGUUGGGAGGCAUCUCCCGAUGUUUAAAGAUUUAUCGGCUGCGGAUGGCCAUGCGGCGCAUUAGCUAGUCGGCGGGGUAACGGCCCACCGAGGCGACGAUGCGUAGGGGUUCUGAGAGGAAGGUCCCCCACACUGGUACUGAGACACGGACCAGACUCCUACGGGAGGCAGCAGUGAGGAAUAUUGGUCAAUGGCCGAAAGGCUGAACCAGCCAAGUCGCGUGAGGGAAGACGGCCCUACGGGUUGUAAACCUCUUUUGUCGGGGAGCAAAGAGAGCCACGUGUGGCUCAUUGAGAGUACCCGAAGAAAAAGCAUCGGCUAACUCCGUGCCAGCAGCCGCGGUAAUACGGAGGAUGCGAGCGUUAUCCGGAUUUAUUGGGUUUAAAGGGUGCGCAGGCGGAGGUGCAAGUCAGCGGUCAAAUUGCGGGGCUCAACCCCGUACUGCCGUUGAAACUGCAUCCCUUGAGUGCGCGAGAAGUAUGCGGAAUGCGUGGUGUAGCGGUGAAAUGCAUAGAUAUCGCGCAGAACUCCGAUUGCGAAGGCAGCAUGCCGGCUCCACACUGACGCUGAGGCACGAAAGCGUGGGUAUCGAACAGGAUUAGAUACCCUGGUAGUCCACGCAGUAAACGAUGAAUGCUGGCUGUCCGGGGGGAUUGACCCCUGGGUGGCGAAGCGAAAGCGAUAAGCAUUCCACCUGGGGAGUACGCCGGCAACGGUGAAACUCAAAGGAAUUGACGGGGGCCCGCACAAGCGGAGGAACAUGUGGUUUAAUUCGAUGAUACGCGAGGAACCUUACCCGGGCUCAAACGGGGAGUGACUCAGGCAGAGACGCCUGUUUCCCACGGGACACUCCCCGAGGUGCUGCAUGGUUGUCGUCAGCUCGUGCCGUGAGGUGUCGGCUUAAGUGCCAUAACGAGCGCAACCCCCGCGUGCAGUUGCUAACAGAUAACGCUGAGGACUCUGCACGGACUGCCGGCGCAAGCCGCGAGGAAGGCGGGGAUGACGUCAAAUCAGCACGGCCCUUACGUCCGGGGCGACACACGUGUUACAAUGGGUGGUACAGCGGGAAGCCAGGCGGCGACGCCGAGCGGAACCCGAAAUCCACUCUCAGUUCGGAUCGGAGUCUGCAACCCGACUCCGUGAAGCUGGAUUCGCUAGUAAUCGCGCAUCAGCCAUGGCGCGGUGAAUACGUUCCCGGGCCUUGCACACACCGCCCGUCAAG
rnacentral:rRNA from 1 species